UCGCGCGAUGUCAGCAAUACCUAGGUCACCCUUGAAUAAACUACCCUUGUUGCUUUGGCGGGCCGCCCCUCGGGGCUAGCGGCUUCGGCUGCUGCGCGCCCGCCAGAGGACCACAACUCUUGUUUUUAGUGAUGUCUGAGUACUAUAUAAUAGUUAAAACUUUCAACAACGGAUCUCUUGGUUCUGGCAUCGAUGAAGAACGCAGCGAAAUGCGAUAAGUAAUGUGAAUUGCAGAAUUCAGUGAAUCAUCGAAUCUUUGAACGCACAUUGCGCCCUUUGGUAUUCCGAAGGGCAUGCCUGUUCGAGCGUCAUUAUAACCACUCAAGCCUUCGCUUGGUAUUGGGGUUCGCGGCUGCGCGGCCCCUAAAAUCAGUGGCGGUGCCUGUCGGCUCUACGCGUAGUAAUACUCCUCGCGUCUGGGUUCCGGUAGGUUGCUUGCCAGCAACCCCUAAAUUUUUUACAGGUUGACCUCGGAUCAGGUAGGGAUACCCGCUGAACUUAAGCAUAUCAAUAAGCGGAGGAA
rnacentral:rRNA from 1 species